rnacentral:sRNA from 1 species
UGGACAGGGGGGUUCCCGCCGACAGACGGGGCCUGUCCGACCGGCUGUACACACCGUGCAGCCAGUGGUUUGUCGCUCGGGGGUGAACGCCG